rnacentral:rRNA from 1 species
AUGGCUUCAUCCGGUUCCAUGACGAGGCCACCGUGUGCUAACUAAGAAGACAUGCCGAACAAGUGGGAGGACGCAUCUUUGGACAAGGUGAAGGAGAAAGAUGUCAACAUCCCGCAAUGUUGGUGUGCAGAUGUUUGCAAGGUGAAGGUGUCCACCGACCGAAAGAAAGCAUGGACGGAAGGGCGGAGAUAUUUUGUAUGCCCGAACUAUGCUUAUGAUCGUGCACUUCCAACUAACGCCUAUGACCAACCACCGGUAAGCUCGAUAAGUAAAAUGUUACUCUGA